AGCGAACGCUGGCGGCAGGCUUAACACAUGCAAGUCGAGCGCCCCGCAAGGGGAGCGGCAGACGGGUGAGUAACGCGUGGGAACGUGCCCUUCGGUCUGGAAUAACCCAGGGAAACUUGGGCUAAUACCGGAUACGUCCGAAAGGGGAAAGAUUUAUCGCCGAAGGAUCGGCCCGCGUAAGAUUAGCUAGUUGGUGAGGUAACGGCUCACCAAGGCAAUGAUCUUUAGCUGUUCUGAGAGGAAGAUCAGCCACACUGGGACUGAGACACGGCCCAGACUCCUACGGGAGGCAGCAGUGGGGAAUAUUGGACAAUGGGCGCAAGCCUGAUCCAGCCAUGCCGCGUGAGUGAUGAAGGCCUUAGGGUUGUAAAGCUCUUUUACCAGGGAAGAUAAUGACGGUACCUGGAGAAUAAGCCCCGGCUAACUUCGUGCCAGCAGCCGCGGUAA
rnacentral:rRNA from 1 species